rnacentral:lncRNA from 1 species
GUUCUACAGGUGUACAAGCAUGAUUGCUUUCCCUCUAUUUCUGGCUGUGGAAAGAUCAGCAGCCGUCUGAUUGUUUUUCAGGGACAGCAUGAUGUUGGGAUCAGUGCUGAUGGCAGUCACUGGAGCUCAAGAUUAUCCAGGAUGGCUCUGGGAAAAACCAUAUGAAUGAUUUUACCUGCAUCUGACUCUUCUGAAUGAUGUUCCAGAGAGAGCUUCGAUUCUUGUUUUCUGAUUUGAAGUCACUGGUCUCUUUUUGAGCAAUUAAGUGACCUUUUCAAAGCGGUCAUCUAUGUUGUUACAACUGUCAAGUUUGUGAAGUGUCAUUACUUCAAUAAAGCCGUUAAAUCAAAGGUGUGUCUGAAGUUAAGGUGUUUGAUGUAUGAUUGUAUCUGGGUUGGUUAAUUGACUUUAUCAAUGACUAACAGGCCUUUUAGGCAUUUGGUAGCAUGCAAUAUGACCUGUUUUUAUACUUUAAAGUUGAGCACUGAUUAAUUAAACCUAAGCUAUGGAAGCCGAUUUCUUACAUAUCCCUUGCAGCUCAAAAUUGAUUUAAGUCGCGACAGGACUUGUAAGUUGACUCGUGACGUUUUGUCAUUUUCCAUGCGUUUAAUUUGAUUUAAGAUUUACUGAAGCAUAAUUCUGUGUCGGAAAUGGGUUUCCAUAGUAAGUGCCACGUUCUCAGUAUUUGGAAUGGCAGCAUCUUCAUGGGACGGAGCAUUUACACUUAGUUUGCCUGAUUUUGAAAGAUUUACAGUUAAGUAGCUAACAUCGGGUCUACAGGAGC